rnacentral:tRNA from 1 species
GAAAGAGUACUGCAAGAACUGCUAAUUCAUGCUCCCCACACCUAACAGUGUGGCUUUUUCG